rnacentral:rRNA from 1 species
UGGGCAACCUGCCCUUCUCAUCGGGAUAAGCGUUGGAAACGACGUCUAAUGCCGAAUACGACCUCCUUUCGCAUGAUCGGAGGUGGAAAGCUCCGGCGGAGAAGGAUGAGCUCGCGGCCUAUCAGCUAGUUGGUGUGGGUAAUGGCCCACCAAGGCGACGACGGGUAGCCGGCCUGAGAGGGUGACCGGCCACACUGGGACUGAGACACGGCCCAGACUCCUACGGGAGGCAGCAGG